AUUGAACGCUGGCGGCAUGCCUUACACAUGCAAGUCGAACGGCAGCACGGGAGCAAUCCUGGUGGCGAGUGGCGAACGGGUGAGUAAUACAUCGGAACGUGCCCAGUAGUGGGGGAUAGCCCGGCGAAAGCCGGAUUAAUACCGCAUACGACCUACGGGUGAAAGCGGGGGAUCGCAAGACCUCGCGCUAUUGGAGCGGCCGAUGUCAGAUUAGCUUGUUGGUGGGGUAAAAGCCUACCAAGGCGACGAUCUGUAGCUGGUCUGAGAGGACGACCAGCCACACUGGGACUGAGACACGGCCCAGACUCCUACGGGAGGCAGCAGUGGGAAUUUUGGACAAUGGGCGCAAGCCUGAUCCAGCCAUGCCGCGU
rnacentral:rRNA from 1 species